GUACACUCCUACGGGAGGCAGCAGUGGGGAAUAUUGCACAAUGGGCGCAAGCCUGAUGCAGCCAUGCCGCGUGUAUGAAGAAGGCCUUCGGGUUGUAAAGUACUUUCAGCGGGGAGGAAGGCGAUAAGGUUAAUAACCUUGUCGAUUGACGUUACCCGCAGAAGAAGCACCGGCUAACUCCGUGCCAGCAGCCGCGGUAAUACGGAGGGUGCAAGCGUUAAUCGGAAUUACUGGGCGUAAAGCGCACGCAGGCGGUCUGUCAAGUCGGAUGUGAAAUCCCCGGGCUCAACCUGGGAACUGCAUGCGAAACUGGCAGGCUAGAGUCUUGUAGAGGGGGGUAGAAUUCCAGGUGUAGCGGUGAAAUGCGUAGAGAUCUGGAGGAAUACCGGUGGCGAAGGCGGCCCCCUGGACAAAGACUGACGCUCAGGUGCGAAAGCGUGGGGAGCAAACAGGAUUAGAAACCCUGGUAGUCCCAUG
rnacentral:rRNA from 1 species